UUAAAGAGUAAUCUCAUCGAGUUCUCCAACUAUGUAGAGAAAACACUCCUAUAGGCCAAGAGAAGCCAUUCCAUGGUGCACCUUGCCUGGAUCAUGGUUGAUAUAUUCAGCUACACAUCCCCUCAACCACCUCUCACCAAAAUGACUAGAAGGAGGAACACCCAACUGAAGAAAAAUUCAGAGACUGUGCUCUCUCCAUCAGAACUAUUGGAUAUGGACAUAAAGGGAAAAGAAAACAAAACCACCUUCUGGGGUGUUGGGCUGGGAUGUUGGGUUCUGAGAAGUUGAGCAGUUGGGAAGAAUGACCUUUCUGUCUCCAUAAGUUCCUCCAGUCCUCUAUGAAACACCUGCUUUACCCAGGCCAGACCAUUAUCAGAAUCACUAAGAAGGCUGUUCCCCCCGACCAAUAGUUUGGUAAUAAAACAGUUACCAAAUGCUCC
rnacentral:lncRNA from 1 species